CCUACGGGUGGCAGCAGUGAGGAAUAUUGGUCAAUGGCCGUAAGGCUGAACCAGCCAAGUAGCGUGAGGGAAGACUGUCCUAUGGGUUGUAAACCUCUUUUAUGCGGGGAUAAAGGUGUCCACGUGUGGAUGUUUGCAGGUACCGCACGAAUAAGGAUCGGCUAACUCCGUGCCAGCAGCCGCGGUAAUACGGAGGAUCCGAGCGUUAUCCGGAUUUAUUGGGUUUAAAGGGUGCGUAGGCGGUUUGAUAAGUUAGAGGUGAAAUGUCGGGGCUCAACCCCGAAACUGCCUCUAAUACUGUUGGACUAGAGAAUAGUUGCGGUAGGCGGAAUGUAUGGCGUAGCGGUGAAAUGCUUAGAGAUCAUACAGAACACCGAUUGCGAAGGCAGCUUACCAAACUAUAUCUGACGUUGAGGCACGAAAGCGUGGGUAGCAAACAGGAUUAGAUACCCUUGUAGUC
rnacentral:rRNA from 1 species